rnacentral:rRNA from 1 species
AUUGAACGCUGGCGGCAGGCCUAACACAUGCAAGUCGAACGAGUGGCGGACGGGUGAGUAAUGUCUGGGAAACUGCCCGAUGGAGGGGGAUAACUACUGGAAACGGUAGCUAAUACCGCAUACCAUCGGAUGUGCCCAGAUGGGAUUAGCUUGUAGGUGAGGUAACGGCUCACCUAGGAGACGAUCCCUAGCUGGUCUGAGAGGAUGAACAGCCACACCGGAACUGAGACACGGGCCAGACUCAGACGGGAGCGAGCAGUGGGGAAUAUUGGAAAAUGGGCGCGAGCCUGAUGAAGCCAUGCCGCGGGGAUGAAGAAGGCCUUCGGGUUGUAAAGUACUUGCAGCGGGGAGGCGUUACCCGCAGAAGAAGCACCGGCUAACUCCGUGCCAGCAGCCGCGGUAAUAC